GACGAACGCUGGCGGCGUGCUUAACACAUGCAAGUCGAACGGAAAGGCCUGCUUUCCCUUGUGGAUUGCGGGUACUCGAGUGGCGAACGGGUGAGUAACACGUGAGUGAUCUGCCCCCAACUUGGGUAUAAGCCUGGGAAACUGGGUCUAAUUCCCGAUAGGACUGCAGGGUGGUGCCUGUGGUGGAAAACGAUUUUCUAGUGGUUGGGGAUGAGCUCGCGGCCUAUCAGCUUGUUGGUGGGGUAAUGGCCUACCAAGGCGGCGACGGGUAGCCGGCCUGAGAGGGUGGACGGCCACAUUGGGACUGAGAUACGGCCCAGACUCCUACGGGAGGCAGCAGUGGGGAAAAUUGCACAAUGGGCGGAAGCCUGAUGCAGCGACGCCGCGUGGGGGAUGACGGCCUUCGGGUUGUAAACUCCUUUCGACCGCGAGGAAGCCACCUGGUUGGAAGGGUGGUGACGGUAGUGGUAGAAGAAGCACCGGCUAACUACGUG
rnacentral:rRNA from 1 species